GCCUACGGGAGGCAGCAGUGGGGAAUAUUGGGCAAUGGGCGCAAGCCUGACCCAGCAACGCCGCGUGAGGGAAGAAGGUUUUCGGAUUGUAAACCUCUGUCGCAAGGGACGAAGAAGUGACGGUACCUUGUGAGGAAGCCCCGGCUAACUACGUGCCAGCAGCCGCGGUAAUACGUAGGGGGCGAGCGUUGUCCGGAAUUACUGGGCGUAAAGGGUGCGUAGGCGGUUGCUUAAGUUGGAUGUGAAAUACCCGGGCUUAACUUGGGGGGUGCAUUCAAAACUGGGCGACUAGAGUUCAGGAGAGGGAAGCGGAAUUCCUAGUGUAGCGGUGAAAUGCGUAGAUAUUAGGAGGAACACCAGUGGCGAAGGCGGCUUUCUGGACUGACACUGACGCUGAGGCACGAAAGCGUGGGGAGCAAACAGGAUUAGAUACCCAGUAGUC
rnacentral:rRNA from 1 species